AUUGAACGCUGGCGGCAGGCCUAACACAUGCAAGUCGGACGAGCGGCGGACGGGUGAGUAAUGUAUGGGAAUCUGCCUGAUGGAGGGGGAUAACUACUGGAAACGGUAGCUAAUACCGCGUACCAUAGGAUGAGCCCAAGUGGGAUUAGCUAGUUGGUGGGGUAAAGGCUCACCAAGGCGACGAUCCCUAGCUGGUCUGAGAGGAUGACCAGCCACACUGGAACUGAGACACGGCCCAGACUCCUACGGGAGGCAGCAGUGGGGAAUAUUGCACAAUGGGGGCAAGCCUGAUGCAGCCAUGCCGCGUGAAUGAAGAAGGCCUUCGGGUUGUAAAGUUCUUUCGGUAGCGAGGCGUUACCUACAGAAGAAGCACCGGCUAACUCCGUGCCAGCAGCCGCGGUAAUAC
rnacentral:rRNA from 1 species